rnacentral:rRNA from 1 species
UGGUAAUGCCGGAUGUUCCACAUGAUCGCAUGUGAUUGUGGGAAAGAUUCUAUCGGCGUGGGAUGGGGUCGCGUCCUAUCAGCUUGUUGGUGAGGUAACGGCUCACCAAGGCUUCGACGGGUAGCCGGCCUGAGAGGGCGACCGGCCACAUUGGGACUGAGAUACGGCCCAGACUCCUACGGGAGGCAGCAGUGGGGAAUAUUGCACAAUGGGCGCAAGCCUGAUGCAGCGACGCCGCGUGAGGGAUGGAGGCCUUCGGGUUGUAAACCUCUUUUGUUUGGGAGCAAGCCUUCGGGUGAGUGUACCUUUCGAAUAAGCGCCGGCUAACUACGUGCCAGCAGCCGCGGUAAUACGUAGGGCGCAAGCGUUAUCCGGAUUUAUUGGGCGUAAAGGGCUCGUAGGCGGCUCGUCGCGUCCGGUGUGAAAGUCCAUCGCUUAACGGUGGAUCUGCGCCGGGUACGGGCGGGCUGGAGUGCGGUAGGGGAGACUGGAAUUCCCGGUGUAACGGUGGAAUGUGUAGAUAUCGG